rnacentral:rRNA from 1 species
UGAGCAAUCUGCCCUUCUCAUCGGAAUAAGCGUUGGAAACGACGUCUAAUGCCGAAUACGACCUCCUUUCGCAUGAUCGGAGGUGGAAAGCUCCGGCGGAGAAGGAUGAGCUCGCGGCCUAUCAGCUAGUUGGUGUGGUAAUGGCCCACAAGGCGACGACGGGUAGCCGGCCUGAGGAGGGUGACCGGCCACACGUGGGACUGAGACACCGGCCCAGACCUCCGUACGGGAGCAG